UACGAAGGGGGCGAGCGUUGUUCGGAUUUACUGGGCGUAAAGGGCGCGUAGGCGGCGCGAGAAGUCGAGUGUGAAAGCCCCGGGCUCAACCUGGGAAUUGCGCUCGAUACUCUUGUGCUUGAGUUCGGGAGAGGAGCGUGGAAUUCCCAGUGUAGAGGUGAAAUUCGUAGAUAUCAGGAGGAACACCAAUGGCGAAGGCAGCUCGCUGGGACGUGACUGACGCUGAGACGCGAAAGCGUGGGGAGCAAACAGG
rnacentral:rRNA from 1 species